rnacentral:rRNA from 1 species
GACGAACCGUGCAAACGUUGUUCGGAUUCACUGGGCUUAAAGGGCGCGUAGGCGGACGAUCAAGUCAGGGGUGAAAUCUUUCGGCUCAACCGGAAAAUAGCUUCUGAUACUGGUCGCCUUGAGGGAGGUAGGGGCUACUGGAAUUCCGUGUGUAGCGGUGAAAAUGCGUAGAUAUACGGAGGAACACCUGCGGCGAAGGCGGGUAGCUGGGCCGAUACUGACGUGAGGAGCGAAAGCGUGGGGAGCGAACGG